rnacentral:rRNA from 1 species
UACGAAGGGAGCUAGCGUUGUUCGGAAUCACUGGGCGUAAAGCGCACGUAGGCGGAUUUGCCAGUCAGGGGUGAAAUCCCUCGGCUCAACCGGGGAACUGCGUCUGAUACUGGGUGGCUUGAAUCCGGGAGAGGGAUGCGGAAUUCCAGGUGUAGCGGUGAAAUGCGUAGAUAUCUGGAGGAACAUCGGUGGCGAAGGCGGCAUCCUGGACCGGUAUUGACGCUGAGGCGCGAAAGCCAGGGGAGCAAACGGG